CCUACGGGUGGCAGCAGUGAGGAAUAUUGGUCAAUGGACGAGAGUCUGAACCAGCCAAGUAGCGUGAAGGAUGACUGCCCUAUGGGUUGUAAACUUCUUUUAUAUGGGAAUAAAAUGUUCCACGUGUGGGAUUUUGUAUGUACCAUAUGAAUAAGGAUCGGCUAACUCCGUGCCAGCAGCCACGGUAAUACGGAGGAUCCGAGCGUUAUCCGGAUUUAUUGGGUUUAAAGGGAGCGUAGGUGGAUUGUUAAGUCAGUUGUGAAAGUUUGCGGCUCAACCGUAAAAUUGCAGUUGAAACUGGCAGUCUUGAGUACAGUAGAGGUGGGCGGAAGUCGUGGUGUAGCGGUGAAAUGCUUAGAUAUCACGAAGAACUCCGAUUGCGAAGGCAGUUCACUGGACUGCAACUGACACUGAGGCUCGAAAGUGUGGGUAUCAAACAGGAUUAGAUACCCGAGUAGUC
rnacentral:rRNA from 1 species